AGUGAACGCUGGCGGUAGGCCUAACACAUGCCAGUCGAACGGCAGCACAGUAAGAGCUUGCUCUUACGGGUGGCGAGUGGCGGACGGGUGAGGAAUACAUCGGAAUCUACUUUUUCGUGGGGGCUAACGUAGGUAAACUUACGCUAAUACCGCAUACGACCUACGGGUGAAAGCAGGGGAUCUUCGGACCUUGCGCGAUUGAAUGAGCCGAUGUCGGAUUAGCUAGUUGGCGGGGUAAAGGCCCACCAAGGCGACGAUCCGUAGCUGGUCUGAGAGGAUGAUCAGCCAAACUGGAACUGAGACACGGUCCAGACUCCUACGGGAGGCAGCAGUGGGGAAUAUUGGACAAUGGGCGCAAGCCUGAUCCAGCCAUACCGCGUGGGUGAAGAAGGCCUUCGGGUUGUAAAGCCCUUUUGUUGGGAAAGAAAAGCAGCAGGUUAAUACCCCGCUGUUCUGACGGUACCCAAAGAAUAAGCACCGGCUAACUUCGUG
rnacentral:rRNA from 1 species